rnacentral:rRNA from 1 species
CCUACGGGGGGCAGCAGUGAGGAAUAUUGGUCAAUGGGCGCGAGCCUGAACCAGCCAAGUAGCGUGAAGGAUGACUGCCCUACGGGUUGUAAACUUCUUUUAUAAAGGAAUAAAGUGAGGCACGUGUGCCUUUUUGUAUGUACUUUAUGAAUAAGGAUCGGCUAACUCCGUGCCAGCAGCCGCGGUAAUACGGAGGAUCCGAGCGUUAUCCGGAUUUAUUGGGUUUAAAGGGAGCGUAGAUGGGUUGUUAAGUCAGUUGUGAAAGUUUGCGGCUCAACCGUAAAAUUGCAAUUGAUACUGGCAUUCUUGAGUACAGUAGAGGAAGGCGGAAUUCGUGGUGGAGCGGGGAAAGGCUGAGAUAUCAGGAGGAAC